AGCGAACGCUGGCGGCAGGCCUAACACAUGCAAGUCGAACGCACCCUUCGGGGUUAGUGGCGGACGGGUGAGUAACACGUGGGAACGUGCCUUUAGGUUCGGAAUAACUCAGGGAAACUUGUACUAAUACCGAAUGUGCCCUUCGAGGGAAAGAUUUAUCGCCUUUAGAGCGGCCCGCGUCUGAUUAGCUAGUUGGUGAGGUAAUGGCUCACCAAGGCUACGAUCAGUAGCUGGUCUGAGAGGAUGACCAGCCACAUUGGGACUGAGACACGGCCCAAACUCCUACGGGAGGCAGCAGUGGGGAAUCUUGCGCAAUGGGCGAAAGCCUGACGCAGCCAUGCCGCGUGGAUGAUGAAGGUCUUAGGAUUGUAAAAUCCUUUCCCCGGUGAAGAUAAUGACUGUAGCCGGAGAAGAAGCCCCGGCUAACUUCGUGCCAGCCGCCGCCGUAACAC
rnacentral:rRNA from 1 species